rnacentral:rRNA from 1 species
ACUCAAAUGAAUUGACGGGGGCCCGCACAAGCGGCGGAGCAUGCGGCUUAAUUCGACGCAACGCGAAGAACCUUACCAAGGCUUGACAUGCAUCGAAAACUCGUGGAGACACGGGGUCCGUAAGGGCGGUGUACAGGUGGUGCAUGGCUGUCGUCAGCUCGUGUCGUGAGAUGUUGGGUUAAGUCCCGCAACGAGCGCAACCCUUGUCCUAUGUUGCCAGCGAGUCGUGUCGGGGACUCAUAGGAGACUGCCGGGGUCAACUCGGAGGAAGGUGGGGAUGACGUCAAGUCAUCAUGCCCCUUAUGUCUUGGGCUGCACGCAUGCUACAAUGGCCGGUACAAAGGGCUGCGAAACCGUGAGGUGGAGCGAAUCUCAAAAAGCCGGUCUCAGUUCGGAUUGGGGUCUGCAACUCGACCCCAUGAAGUCGGAGUCGCUAGUAAUCGCAGAUCAGCAACGCUGCGGUGAAUACGUUCCCGGGCCUUGUACACACCGCCCGU